UGAUUCUGAGGCUUCCCCAGCCCAUGUGGAACUGUUGGGUUUCAGCCGAGCAAGUCUGAGGCCCCUUUCCCGCGCCCUCUGGUGGAAAGUGUUCGCUUUUCUGUCCACCCAUGUGAAGGAUUCACCCCGACCCUCCUCAGGUGGCCUUUACUUUGCAGGAGCAAAGCAAGUUGGAUGAGGAGAUACAUGUAUGUGGCACACAGCUUUCUUCACUUAGCAACACGUCAGAUGCAGCGUAGAUGUGCGGAUGAAACCACCAUUGCAAAAUUAUCACUGAGACAGUCAGAGAAACCUGACAUGGCUGACUCCAUGUUGCUUUUAGCCUCACAGGCUGGCUCUCUUAGCUCAUUCCUAAGCAUGGGCCUGAAACUGCCAUUGCAAAAUCGUAACUGAGACAGCAAAAGAGACUUGACCUAACCAACUCCAUCUUGCUUCUAACCUCCAAGCUGUCCUUGUUCAUUCCUGGGUGUAGGCUGAACUAACUUUGGGAGGAACUUAAUUUAUAGUUUAAAACAAAGACGAUAAGACGAUAACAGCCCUUUCUCAAAACAAACAUCCUUCCUGACUGGGGACUAGACUGCCUUUGUAGGAUUAACAAAUUAGCCACAAGAUCAGAAAUUAUAGUUUAGGAGUCAUGCAGCUGGAGGCUCUAAGAUUGUGACCCUCCCUAAACCGCUCAGUGCUUGAGAUGUUUUACAGACCCUGCACUUAAUGGAUCAGCUGGCACCACCCAGAUGGAUAAACUGGCUCAUGUGAUCUUGUGGCCCCCACCCAGGAACUGACUCAGUGCAAGAAGACAACUUCAAUUCCCUAUGAUUUAAUGUCCUACCGAAUCAAUCAGCACUCCUGACACACUGGCUUCCCCUCACCCACCAAAUUGUCCUUAAAACCUCUGAUCUCCAAAUGCUUGAGGAGACUGAUUUGAGUAAUAAUAAAACAAGGCUCCUGCACAGCCGGCUCUGCGCGAAUUACUCUUUCUCUACUGCAGUUCUCCUGUCAUGAUAAAUCGGCUCCAUCUAGGCAGCCAGCAAGGUGAACCCACUGGGUGGUUACAGGCCACGCUAAGUUCGGGAGAAAUUUAGUUUAUGGUUUAAAUGAUAACAGCCCUUCCCCAAAACUAAACUGCCCUGGUAAAACUAAUGAAAGGCCGCCAAGUUAGGAGGAUGACAGGGGCCUGAAUUCUACUGAGCCGUAAGCGUAAUUACCGGCCAUUAUUCCAGAGGACACAAGAUUUGCAACUUGCCUAAUUACUCCUGCAAAGAACAUCGCUACUGUAGCACCUGAGAAUGGCCUUUUGAGAUGUGUUUUCAGGCUUUUGCACUUCUGACAACUGAUGGCUGCACUUGGACUCGCCAGCCGGUCCCGCGUCCCCACCAGAAGCAGAGUAAGCACAAGAGGACAGCUCCGACUCCCUAGGAUUUCAGCUCUGACCAGUCGCACGCCUGGCUCACUGGCUUCCCCACACCCACCAAGUUGUUCUUAAAAACUCUGCUGCCCGAAUGCUCAGGGAGAGUGAUUUGAGUAAUAAUGAAACUGUUGUCUCCUGCACAGUCGGCUCUGCGUGAAUUACUCUUUCUCUAUUGCAAUUCCGCUCUCUUGAGAAAUCGGCUCUGUCCAGGCAGCAGCAAGGUGAAGCCACUGGGCGGUUACACUGAUAUGAUUCCCCCUUUGCAGUUUUUACUCUCUUGGUGCUGCAAACAGUUCCUCACUGAGGACCCUUGUACACGUAUCACUGUGAGCAUGAAUCCGAAUUUCUUUAGGAGACAUACAUACUAGUGGGUAUGUGCAUGUUAUGUAAUUUCUCUUAGCACUGUUUCCUCACUCAUCAAAUAAGGAUCAAGUAGUUCUCACCACACAGGGUUAUUUUAGAAAUAAUUUAGUAUACAUAAUAUACAAUGCAAUAACAAGUACUGAUGUCUACUUCUUUUAGGUUAUAUGAUAAUACCUUAUACAUAGUACAUGUGUGAUUAUAUAUAUUGCAAUGUAGAGUACGAUCUAUAAUUUACAGAACUGUUGUUUAUAUAUAACAAAUGCUGUCCUUGCGAUAGUUUGCUCAGAAUGAUGGUUUAUGUAUACAUAUGUAACAAACCUGCACGUUGUGCACACGUACCCUAGAACUUAAAGUAUAAUUUUAAAAAAUGCUAUAAUUCAUGUGGUGAUUAUUAUCUACCAGUUACAUCAUCGAUAGAAUGAGGACGUUGUUAACGGUACACGCCAGACAGGAUGGCUGUGAGGAUCUGUGAUAAUAAGAAUUAGAUAUUUGGUCUUUGUCCCUGUUUCCUGAUGGAGGCUUCUAAACCCCUUGGAAUUCCCUGACUGAUAGGGGCAAGAGGAAAUCUUUUGUUAUUCCUAACGAGCCCCUUUCAUCCAUGCCUGUGUUUAUGCUAAUGAGGUGACUCCUGGAGGAUGAGGGCUGGUUGCCAGGGGAAUCAACUUUGCCUUGCAACUUUCAGCUCCAGUCCGUGACUUCCAGGGAAAGAACAGGGGCUGGAGAUUGAGUUUAAUCGCCAAUGACCAGUGAUUUGAUCAUUCAUGCUUAAAUAAUGGAACCAUAAGAAACCUAAAGAAAAGGUUUGGAGAGCUGCUGGGUUCAGGAGCACAUUCGUGUGCUGGGAGGGUGUUGUGCCUGGUGAAGGUGUGGAAGCGCUGACUCUGCCUCGCAUACCUUGUCCUGUCUGUGUCUUUCAUCUGGCUGUUGCUGAGUUGUGCUGUUUAUAAUAAUAAACUGGUAACAGGAAGUAAAGCACUUUCCUG
rnacentral:lncRNA from 1 species